GAAUUUGAAAUGUGACCUCCAAGAGAGAAGACAAAGUUAUAGGGAGAGCUCAGAGCCCUUCCAGUGCCUAAAGGGGCUUCAGCAGAGCUGGAGAGGACAAGGGAUGGAGGGACAGGACACAGGGAAUGGCUCCCACUGCCAGGCAGGGACAAAUGGGAUAUUGGGAAGGACUCCUGGCUGUGAGGGUGGGCAGGCCCUGGCACAGGGUGCCCAGAGAAGCUGUGCCAUGGAGAGGUUUGUGCUGAGUCACAAGUGUUGAAGCUCUGAUCCAACCCUGUCAUGUUUUAGGACAGCACUGGAUUGUUUUCAUGGCAGUCUGGGAUGGAGGGAUAUUCAAGGUACCACCCCCUCAUGGAUAGUUGCAUCAGCAGAAGGAUGCUGCAUCCUUGUGUUCUUUAACUGAUGUCUAUGUCUCCCUUAUAAUCACACUGUAAUUUCAUUUUUUCCCCUAGUUUUGGCUCUGCCAAGCUUUUCUGCUUCCCUCUGAAGACAGGAGUCUCAGCAGAUCUCAGCCUCCUGUUGCUGUAGUAGCAAACAGCAUCUGAUUUUUCCUUCUGGCUUUGAAUAUUCUCCUUGUUGUCUUGGAAGCAUCUUGCUUUGGAAUCACCAUUCCAUUCCCCUUCACAGCCCACCUAUUCUGGAAGGGAGCAUCAAAAGGUGACAUUUUUCUUCCAUCUGACCUGUUCAGAUGGUGCCAUGUGUGCUGGAGGAGGAAAAGGAAGAGGAAAAGAUCUGAUUGCUGUGGAGCACAUUCCCCAUGCAUGGCAUCAUCCAGAAUUAAGCUGGAAAGGCCUUUUCCUGGUGCAUUUAGAGGCUCACAGGCAUGUUUAGUUUUGGGAGCAGUCAUGCACUUGGCAGUAAGAGCAGCAGAUAUGGAUCCUGGAGCAAGGGAAGCUCCGUGGCUGUGGGAUGGGAUCUGCCAGCUGAGUCACACGAAGCACAUCUGA
rnacentral:lncRNA from 1 species